GGACUAAAGCUCCAGGUUCUGGAACCAUGCUGUGAUGCAACGUGCAGGAUUGACCCAGAAUGACCUUAAAUUCUCACUGCCUAAAGAUUGGGCUGUCUGGGAGGGGCCCAACCACCUUGUCCCUGCAGGAGAAAAGGCGGGAUGGCAGAGAGAGCAAGUUCUCUGCACUGGAACACAGGAUCUCCCUCCCUCACAACCUCCCACAUGUCCAAAGGAUGGCUGGCUUCUUCAGGUCUCUCUGAGGGUGCAUGGGAGGAAGGAAGCAUGUGGCUUUUCUCUCAUUGAUGCUGGCUGCAUGUGGCUUUUCCUUUCCCUAUUAAAGUCUGCCAGUGGUGUUGGAAUUUAUCUUGAAUUUUUGUGGCUAACAAAUGGACACCUGUAUUGGGCCCUCCUUGCACAGUACUGCUGACCACAAAGGAAUGAACUCUGCUUAGUACCACUUACGGCUUUUUCAAGACAUCAGAGGGGUUAAUGGCUACCUGAAAAAAGUUGCUAGGAGAGCCAGUGGUAGAUUGACCGGGGCAUCUGAAUAUCCCAAAACCAGAGAGCAGAUAGCCUGAAGUGAGAAGUUUUAAGUAGCUGGGCAGAGUUGACCAUCCACUGUGGGCAAGAGCAGAAUUGUCUUCAGUAGCCCUGAGUGCUUCCUCAGCAUGGCCAAGUCAACAAGCUAAAAAGCAUGGGAUGGUGGAGCCCCUAUCCUUGAUGAAGGAACUGUACCCCAGCUCAGCUCCCCAGGGACCAUGGGCUUCCUCUCCAUGAUAGGUGGGCUGUUCCUUAACCAAAGCCAUAGGACAUUAUGAAAUUCG
rnacentral:lncRNA from 1 species